rnacentral:lncRNA from 1 species
GUAGGAGUAACAGGGCCGUAGGCGUGUAAAUGUGUGUCAAUGUGCAUGCACACAUGCGCAGACCAGCAUGUGUGGGGGUGGGGCGGGGGUGUGUCACAGGAGAGGGAAGUGAGGACUGGGCAGAAGCAAGGAAUGGCACUGUAUUCAGAGGUCCUACUGCUGACAUAAAUCUCAGGUUCCUGUGUGGAAACAUCCUUCAGCAUAAUCUCACAGGAAUGAUGGAGAUGAAAUAACUGCCUGGCCGAAAAGAACAGCAGGCUUGUCAAGGGCAUUGGCCUGGGGAUAGCAUCAGACUGCUGAGGAGGGUCCUAAAAGGGUCUGACAGUUGAGCAGUGGCCCCUGGAGCCUGAGAUCCAAGCCUGGAUUCAGGUCAUGGCUGUGAACACAAGCAAACCACUUGACAUGCUUCAGUCUUCUCAUCUGUGAAACAGAAAUGAUUCCUCCUACUACGGGAUUAUUUCAAAGAUGACAUACGCAGAAGAUUUUUAAAUGUAAGGAAUUAUAAAAGUACAAUUUAUUGGGGUUCUCGUUGUGGCUCAGCAGAUUAAGAACCCAACUAGUGUCCAUGAGGAUAUAGGUUUAAUCCCUGGACUCAGUGAAUAGGUUAAGGAUCCAGCAUUGCUACAAGCUGUGGCAUUGGUUGGCAGCUGCAGCUCUGAUUCAACCUCUAGGCCAAGGACUUCCACAUGCUGCAGGUGCAGCCCUAAAAAGAAAAAAAAAAGUACAAUUUAUUAUUAUUACAAUUCAUAUCAUAACACUGUAUUCUAUAAUAUCUAAUGAUAUUGCAUGUGAUAUAUAAUUAUGUUACAUUUUAUAAUAUAUGUUGAACAUAGAUGAAGAAUCUCCAUUUUUCAGGAUUACUGUGAUUCUUUGUCCUCAACAUGUAGACAAUUAAACCAUGGCUGGUAUAUAACUGAAUCACUAAGGUGACCAUUCUCUCAUGAUGGAGUUGGUGCAAAGACUGAUUUCUCAGCUGAGGCAGCUACCAGUAGCGAAGAGAGCCCUGGGUGUCCUUUGGAUCCAGGACCAGUCACUUUGAUUCUGCUGUACAGUCUGGGCAAGUCACUCCCUUCUCUGAGCCUGAGUCUGUAUAUUGCACAUCUGUGCAUUGAAGGAAUUAGGUGGGUGGUCUCCAAGGUUCUCUACCUGCUCAGAAAUUCUGUGUCUCAUGUG